GAUGAACGCUGGCGGCGUGCCUAAUACAUGCAAGUCGAGCGAACGGACGAGAAGCUUGCUUCUCUGAUGUUAGCGGCGGACGGGUGAGUAACACGUGGAUAACCUACCUAUAAGACUGGGAUAACUUCGGGAAACCGGAGCUAAUACCGGAUAAUAUUUUGAACCGCAUGGUUCAAAAGUGAAAGACGGUCUUGCUGUCUCUUAUAGAUGGAUCCGCGCUGCAUUAGCUGGUUGGUAAGGUAACGGCUUACCAAGGCAACGAUGCAUAGCCGACCUGAGAGGGUGAUCGGCCACACUGGAACUGAGACACGGUCCAGACUCCUACGGGAGGCAGCAGUAGGGAAUCUUCCGCAAUGGGCGAAAGCCUGACGGAGCAACGCCGCGUGAGUGAUGAAGGUCUUCGGAUCGUAAAACUCUGUUAUUAGGGAAGAACAUAUGUGUAAGUAACUGUGCACAUCUUGACGGUACCUAAUCAGAAAGCCACGGCUAACUACGUG
rnacentral:rRNA from 1 species